rnacentral:rRNA from 1 species
GGGUCAGUAGGUUGGUCAUGCCACUGGUAUGUACUGGUCUCACUGAUUCCUCCUUCCUGAUGAGUCGUAAUGCCAUUAAUUUGGUGUUGCGAGGAAUCUGGACUGUUACUUUGAAAAAAUUAGAGUGUUUAAAGCAAGCUAACGCUUGAAUACAUUAGCAUGGAAUAAUGAAAUAGGACGUUCGAUCCUAUUUUGUUGGUUUCUAGGAUUGACGUAAU